UGACACUUGCUUUGGCCUCCUCUUGAGGAUUUCGUAGAAAUGUGACGUUGCAUUGUCGUUAAACAGAUUCAUUGCUCGCACUGCUACAGACUUAUACGGGUGGUGUUUUUCUACAAGAUUUUGCGCUGUUUCCCACAUUUCACACAUCUCCCUGAUCUCAUUUGAAGUGAGGGAUUCCUCUACCUUUUUCUCCUCCUCCUCUGCAGAUGACAUCUCCAUUGGUUUGUCGGUGGCCAGCUCCUGCCUAUCUUCCUCCACCAGCUCUUGAAUGUCGUCCUCAUUCACCUCCAGUCCCAUGGUCUUCCCCAAAGACACAAUUUCAUUGACAACGGGUGGCUCGUGUUCAUGGCAAGCCCCUCUAAGAAGGCAAGAACACAAUCAGGCCACAGUUUUCUCCAAGCAGAGUUGAAGAUCCUCUUUCUUGGUAACCCCAUCCCAGGCUUCAUCGAUGAUCUUGAGGCAGUUUGUGAUGUGGAAAUGAUUUUCCCAAAACUCUUGGAAGGGCCGAAGACCUCAUUGAUCCACUCAACGAACAAGAUAUAAGUGACCCAAGCCUUGCUGUUGGACCUCCACAGACCGUUUAACUGGCUCUUCUGCACCUUGCAUUUCCUGAAGGCUCAUGGAUUCUUGGAAUGAUACAGGAGCAGGGGCUAGACUUUGAAAUCCCUGCUUGCCUUAGCACAAACAGGAGGGUAACAUUCAGAAACUAUGAGCUUCUGGAACUUGAUAGCGAAUGCCUCAGCUGCCUUAGCGUCCAAACUCGCACCCUCUCGGUGCCUCACAACACUAUGGAGGCCACUUCUCUUAAAGUUAUCAAACCAUCCCCUGCUUGCCUUGAAGACUUCUUCGUUUUCUGUUGACGCACCUGGUAGUUUAUUUACGAGGUCAGCACACAAGGCCUUUGCCUUCUCGCAAGUAAAGUUCUCGGUCACAGUAUCACCUCCUAGUUGCUUCUCCUUUAUCCAAACCAGAAGCAACUUUGCUACAUCUUCCAGAACACGUGGCCAUUGCUUUGAUAUUCUCAUGACUCCUUUUGCUGUAUCUAGGCCCCUUAUUUCUUCUCUUCUUUAAUAUUGUGCAAAUG